UACGAAGGGGGCUAGCGUUGCUCGGAAUCAUUGGGCGUAAAGGGUGCGUAGGUGGCGCCGUAAGUCGGGUGUGAAAUUUCGGAGCUUAACUCCGAAACUGCAUUCGAUACUGCGGUGCUUGAGGACUGGAGAGGAGACUGGAAUUCAUGGUGUAGCAGUGAAAUGCGUAGAGAUCGUGAGGAAGACCAGUGGCGAAGGCGGCUCACUGGCCCGGUACUGACGCUGAGGUGCGAGAGCGUGGGGAGCGAACCGG
rnacentral:rRNA from 1 species